rnacentral:rRNA from 1 species
AACGAACGCUGGCGGCAGGCUUAACACAUGCAAGUCGAACGAAGUCUUCGGACUUAGUGGCGGACGGGUGAGUAACACGUGGGAACGUACCUUUUGGUUCGGAACAACUCAGGGAAACUUGAGCUAAUACCGGAUGAGCCCUUAGGGGGAAAGAUUUAUCGCCGAAAGAGCGGCCCGCGUUAGAUUAGCUAGUUGGUGAGGUAAAGGCUCACCAAGGCUACGAUCUAUAGCUGGUCUGAGAGGAUGAUCAGCCACACUGGGACUGAGACACGGCCCAGACUCCUACGGGAGGCAGCAGUGGGGAAUCUCGCGCAAUGGGCGAAAGCCUGACGCAGCCAUGCCGCGUGAAUGAUGAAGGUCUUAGGAUUGUAAAAUUCUUUUACCAGGGACGAUAAUGACGGUACCUGGAGAAAAAGCCCCGGCUAACUACGUGCCAGCAGCCGCGGUAACAC